rnacentral:rRNA from 1 species
UACGAAGGGUGCAAGCGUUACUCGGAAUUACUGGGCGUAAAGGGUGCGUAGGUGGUUGUUUAAGUCUGCUGUGAAAGCCCCGGGCUCAACCUGGGAAUGGCAGUGGAUACUGGACAGCUAGAGUGCGGUAGAGGGUAGUGGAAUUCCCGGUGUAGCGGUGAAAUGCGUAGAGAUCGGGAGGAACACCAGUGGCGAAGGCGGCUACCUGGACCAGCACUGACACUGAGGCACGGAAAGCGUGGGGAGCAAACA